UACUGAGUGGCAAACGGGUGAGUAUAAUGUGGGAAUCUGCCUUUUGGUCUGGAAUAACACGAGGAAACUUGUGCUAAUACCGGAUAAGCCUUCACAGGGAAAGUUUUAAUGCCAAAAGAUGAGCCCGCACUUGAUUAGCUAGUUGGUAAGGUAAUAGCUUACCAAGGCAACGAUCAAUAGCUGUUCUUAGAGGAAGACCAGCCACAUUGGGACUGAGACACGGCCCAAACUCCUACGGGAGGCAGCAGUGGGGAAUCUUGCACAAUGGGGGAAACCCUGAUGCAGCGAUGCCGCGUGAGUGAAGAAGGCCUUUGGGUUGUAAAACUCUUUCGUCGGGGAAGAAAAUGACUGUACCCGAAUAAGAAGGUCCGGCUAACUUCGUGCCAGCAGCCGCGGUAAUACGAAGGGACCUAGCGUAGUUCGGAAUUACUGGGCUUAAAGAGUUCGUAGGUGGUUAAAAAAGUUGAUGGUGAAAUCCCAAGGCUCAACCUUGGAACUGCCAUCAAAACUUUUUAGCUAGAGUAUGAUAGAGGAAAGUGGAAUUUCUAGUGUAGAGGU
rnacentral:rRNA from 1 species